CACUUCAAGAAGGAGAAGAAGCACUUCAAGAAGGAGAAGAAGCACUUCAAGAAAAGGAAGAAAUACUUCAAGAAGUAGAAGAAGCACUUCAAGAAGAAGAAGAACUCGAAGAAGACGACGAAGAACCAAUUAAAAAACACGAACAGGAAUCUCUUUUAAAACAAACUCCAAAAGCAGUCCAAGAAUUAUCACUAAAACUAGAACAAACAUCUGAUACUAGUACAACACAAGCUCCAGCUUCAACCCCACCAAUUCAACCAGUUGUACCAACUCCACCUCUAGCACCAAAACAUGUUGUUACUAAUGUUGUUGCUGUUUCCAUUGCUAAAAAGUCACAUCAAAAUGCUUUGACAGGAACAGAUAGUCCAAACAAAAAUCAAGAUAGAAUAGAAAUAAAGAAGGAUACUGCCAUAAGGAAUAACAUUCUUGAAAAAUUGAUAGCACAAGUAAAAAAUGAUAAAUCCGAAAAUAAAAUAAAGAAAGCUCGUGUGUUUAAUUUAAAACUAAAACCAAAGAAACGUAAGCGCAAGAAAAAGUUUCAUAUUCGUUUAAUAUACAGACUGCACAAAAAGAAAACUUAAAGUUGCUCAACGUACCGACGAUAUCUGAUGACGAUUUCAAAGGGUGGAGUAAAACAAGGAGACAGUGAUGAUGAAGUCGCUAAUAGUAUUUCUUCAGAUAGUGAUGAAGUAUCUACUAAUUGAGAAGGUAACGUGUGAGAUGUUUGAAAGGUUUCCUAGUGUUGCUUGAAAGAUUAUGUUGGCGGUAGUCGACGAUGUACCUGUGGAUCAUAGCUUUUUGACAAAGUGUCUGCUAGAAUUGCGAUAGAUCGUUGGAUCGAAACACUUCAAUCGAUCAUAUGGGUUAUUUCCCAAGACAGGUACAUACCAAAGACAGUGGUGUGUGCUAUCCUGACAUUGAAAAGGUGAUGACAAAAAAACAACAACAUUGCUGCCAAUCUGAAGAAGUGGAACGUAUAACAACUAUUAGUUUUUUUCAUCCAUUUCCUAGACAAGUGAUGAAACGGACCUCGGAGUUUUGUUAAGCAAGCAAGCAUUACUUUAUAAAAUAAGUUUCCCGUUGAAUAUAAACAUCCAUUGCUUUGAUCUCUAUGUCGAGCCUUUGGAUUAUUUUCAAAUGUAAUAAAAACUAAUAAUAUUGAACCACGGCAGGUUCAUUAAA